UCAGCUCGUGCCGUGAGGUGUUGGGUUAAGUCCCGCAACGAGCGCAACCCCUGUCCUGUGUUGCACUCUCACAGGAGACAGCCCCCCGCAAGGGGGAGGAAGGUGGGGAUGACGUCAAGUCCGCAUGGCCCUUACGCCCUGGGCUACACACACGCUACAAUGGUGAGGACAACGGGCUGCAAUCCCGUGAGGGGGAGCCAAUCCCAGCAAACCUCACCCCAGUUGGAAUCGGAGGCUGCAACCCGCCUCCGUGAACGCGGAGUCGCUAGUAACCGCAGGUCAGCACCACUGCGGUGAAUACGUUCCCGGGCCUUGUACACACCGCCCGUCACGUCAUGGAAGCCGGUAACACCUGAAGUCGCCGCGCUAACCCUCGGGAGGCAGGCGCCGAAGGUGGGACUGGUGACUGGGACGAAGUCGUAACAAGGUAGCUGUACCGGAAGGUGCGGCUGGAUCACCUCCUUU
rnacentral:rRNA from 1 species